CACGUAGGGCGCAAGCGUUGUCCGGAAUUAUUGGGCGUAAAGAGCUCGUAGGCGGUCUGUUACGUCUGCUGUGAAAACCCAGGGCUUAACCCUGGGCUUGCAGUGGAUACGGGCAGACUAGAGGCAGGUAGGGGGAGAAUGGAAUUCCCGGUGUAGCGGUGAAAUGCGCAGAUAUCGGGAGGAACACCGGUGGCGAAGGCGGUCUCACGGUGGCUCGA
rnacentral:rRNA from 1 species